rnacentral:rRNA from 1 species
GUAGGGAAUCUUCCACAAUGGACGAAAGUCUGAUGGAGCAACGCCGCGUGAGUGAAGAAGGUUCUCGGAUCGUAAAACUCUGUUGUGAGGGAAGAACAAGUACCGGAGUAACUGCCGGUACCUUGACGGUACCUCAUUAGAAAGCCACGGCUAACUACGUGCCAGCAGCCGCGGUAAUACGUAGGUGGCAAGCGUUGUCCGGAAUCAUUGGGCGUAAAGCGCGCGCAGGCGGUCCCUUAAGUCUGAUGUGAAAGCCCACGGCUCAACCGUGGAGGGUCAUUGGAAACUGGGGGACUUGAGUGCAGAAGAGGAAAGCGGAAUUCCAAGUGUAGCGGUGAAAUGCGUAGAGAUUUGGAGGAACACCAGUGGCGAAGGCGGCUUUCUGGUCUGUAACUGACGCUGAGGCGCGAAAGCGUGGGGAGCAAACAGGAUUAGAUACCCUGGUAGUCC